GCAACGUGAGUGGGCUCUACUAACUUGCAGAAGCAGGUAGCUUGUUGGCACAUGUGGCUAAAAGGACAUGAGAAUGGCUUUGUACGAAGAGCAGAUGUAAAGUGUGAAAUGGUGCAGAUAGAUAUUCUGAACUAAAAUACGGAAGCUGAUGGGAAGGAGGAUUAUGAACUAGCGGCAGCAUUUUCUGCAUAGCCCAUGAAGGCUUGUACAUCAGUGAGCAAACCCUGUCACGCUCACAUUUUGGCCUUGCUGCAUAGAGGUUGGGGAGGAUACAGCAACAACACUUUGCACUUAGUGUUUUUCAUCUGAAUAUCUCAAUGUGUUUUACAUUGGUGAGUAAGUAUUCCUGCUCUCAUUUUACAUGCUGUGAAACUACAAUGCAAAGGGCAGUUAUGACUGUUAUCCAAUAAAAUACUGAAACACC